UGUGGAGGAGGACGCCGAAGGUGGGGCUAAUGACUGGGGUGAAGUCGUAACAAGGUAGCCGUACCGGAAGGUGCGGCUGGAUCACCUCCUAACAGGGAGACAACAAAAUGUUUAAUAUUAUUAUUUUGUCACCUUAGGUCGAUCGGUACCUCACGUUCUUAAUUUAUUAAGAAUUUCAUUUCCUAAGUUUUUCUAGGUCACACCCAUUAUUUUUCCUGGGCCAUUAGCUCAGGUGGUUAGAGCGCACCCCUGAUAAGGGUGAGGUCCCUGGUUCAAGUCCAGGAUGGCCCAUAUCUCUAUGUUGGGGGUAUAGCUCAGUUGGUAGAGCGCCUGCUUUGCAAGCAGGAUGUCAGCGGUUCGAGUCCGCUUACCUCCACUGAUUACCACCUCUUCCAUAAUUUGUAGAAAGGAAAUUUUUUGAGUUGUGAUCAAAUUCUGAACGAAUCUAGCUUCCUAAUGAAAUCAUUAAGAUGCUGGACUCAUUGAAUUAAUUUCAUUGUUUUCAGAGAACCUUGACAACUGCAUAGAUUAUUUUAAAGACAAUAAGCAUCUUUAAUGAUGCAGAUUUAUUAUUUGUGCGAAUGCAUUAAUAACAAUUCUAUUAAGCUGAUGCUUCAAUUUUGAAGUUAUUGGUCAAGCUACAAAGGGCUCACGGAGGAUACCUAGGCACACAGAGGCGAU
rnacentral:misc_RNA from 1 species